GCUAAAUACUCCUGAGAGACCGAUAGUGAACCAGUACCGUGAGGGAAAGGUGAAAAGAACCGUGAAUAACGGAGUGAAAUAGAUCCUGAAACCAUACGCCUACAAGCGGUCGGAGCCCAUUCGUUGGGUGACGGCGUGCCUUUUGCAUAAUGAGCCUACGAGUUACCGUUGCUGGCAAGGAUAAGUGGUUAAGCCAUGGAUCCGUAGCGAAAGCGAGUCUUAAUAGGGCGCUUUAGUCAGUAGUGGUAGACGCGAAACCGUGUGAUCUACCCAUGGGCAGGUUGAAGUUUAGGUAACACUAAAUGGAGGACCGAACCGUUUAACGCUGAAAAGUUUUCGGAUGACCUGUGGGUAGGGGUGAAAGGCCAAUCAAACUCGGAAAUAGCUCGUACUCCCCGAAAUGCAUUUAGGUGCAGCGAUGAUCAUAGUUACUUAGAGGUAGAGCUACUGAUUGGAUGCGGGGGCUUCACCGCCUACCAAUUCCUGACAAACUCCGAAUGCUAAGUAAUGAUAAUUAUCAGUGAGGGCAUGGGUGCUAAGGUCCAUGUCCGAGAGGGAAAGAACCCAGACCAUCAGCUAAGGUCCCCAAAUGUAUGCUAAGUUGAAAAAACGCGGUUUGAUUGCUUAGACAGCUAGGAUGUUGGCUUGGAAGCAGCCAUUCAUUUAAAGAGUGCGUAACAGCUCACUAGUCGAGCGAUCGAGCAUGGAUAAUAAUCGGGCAUAAGUAUACUACCGAAGCUAUGGAUUUACGUUUUAUACGUGAGUGGUAGGGGAGCAUUCUAUCGACGUAGAAGCCGUAUUGUGAGAUAUGGUGGAGUUUAUAGAAAAGAAAAUGUAGGCAUAAGUAACGAUAAGGGGUGCGAGAAACACCCCCGCCGUAAGACUAAGGUUUCCUGAGCUAUGCUAAUCAGCUUAGGGUUAGUCGGGACCUAAGGCACACCCGAAGGGGGACGUCGAUGGCCAACGGGUUAAUAUUCCCGUACUACUAAUAAUUGUGAUGGAGUGACACAGUGAUGAAAGCACCGCGAACUGACGGAAUAGUUCGUUGAAGCACGUACCUAUAUUUCUUAUAGUAAAAUGCGUAAGAGAUGGAGAAAUGCGAUAGUACUCAGCGUUUUCGAACAACGAGAUAGUGUGCCUAAGGGCUGUCAAGAAAAGCUUCUAAACUUAGAUUAUUAGUACCCGUACCGUAAACCGACACAGGUAGUCGAGGAGAGUAUCCUAAGGCGCUCGAGAGAUUCAUGGCUAAGGAACUAGGCAAAAUAGACCUGUAACUUCGGGAGAAAGGUCGCCAGCGCAAGCUGGCCGCAGUGAAAAGGUCCAGGCGACUGUUUAUCAAAAACACAGGGCUCUGCAAAAUCGUAAGAUGAAGUAUAGGGCCUGACACCUGCCCGGUGCUGGAAGGUUAAGAGGAGAUGUUAUCCUUUGGAGAAGCAUUGAAUUGAAGCCCCAGUAAACGGCGGCCGUAACUAUAACGGUCCUAAGGUAGCGAAAUUCCUUGUCGGGUAAGUUCCGACCUGCACGAAUGGUGUAACGAUCUGGGCACUGUCUCAGCCAUGAGCUCGGUGAAAUUGUAGUAUCGGUGAAGAUGCCGAUUACCCGCAGUGGGACGAAAAGACCCUGUGCACCUUUACUAUAGCUUAGUAUUGUUCUUGGAUAAGUGAUGUGUAGGAUAGGUGGGAGACUUCGAUCCUGCGUCGCCAGGCGUAGGUUAGUCAUUGUUGAAAUACCACCCUUUGCUUAUUUGAGAUCUAACUCUGCGUUGCAGAGGACAUUGCUUGGUGGGUAGUUUGACUGGGGUGGUCGCCUCCAAAAGAGUAACGGAGGCUUCUAAAGGUUCCCUCAGCACGCUUGGUAACCGUGCGUAGAGUGCAAUGGCAUAAGGGAGCUUGACUGGGAGACUAACAAGUCGAUCAGGUACGAAAGUAGAGCAUAGUGAUCCGGUGGUUCCGCAUGGAA
rnacentral:rRNA from 1 species